AGAGUUUGAUCCUGGCUCAGGAUGAACGCUAGCGAUAGGCCUAACACAUGCAAGUCGAGGGGCAGCAUAGGGUAGCAAUACUUUGAUGGCGACCGGCGCACGGGUGAGUAACACGUAUGCAACCUACCUACAACAGGGGAAUAACCCGGAGAAAUUCGGACUAAUACCCCAUAAUACAGGGAUGCCGCAUGGCAAUAUUUGUUAAAGAUUUAUCGGUUGUAGAUGGGCAUGCGUUCCAUUAGAUAGUUGGUAAGGUAACGGCUUACCAAGUCAGCGAUGGAUAGGGGAACUGAGAGGUUUAUCCCCCACACUGGAACUGAGACACGGACCAGACUCCUACGGGAGGCAGCAGUGAGGAAUAUUGGUCAAUGGACGAGAGUCUGAACCAGCCAAAUCGCGUGAAGGAAGACUGCCUUAUGGGUUGUAAACUUCUUUUAUACAGGAAUAAAAAGGGGGAUGUAUCCCUUAUUGCAUGUACUGUAUGAAUAAGCAUCGGCUAACUCCGUGCCAGCAGCCGCGGUAAUACGGAGGAUGCGAGCGUUACCCGGAUUUAUUGGGUUUAAAGGGUGCGCA
rnacentral:rRNA from 1 species